GUAGUGUUCUUUGUGCCCAAGCAUGGAAUUUCUCUCUGGUCUUGGUGUCCUUGUCUGGUCUCCAUGCAAGCUAUUUGCUGAAUCUGACACGUGGUCUUUCCCUAUAGAAACGUCUCCUGACCCCUUGCUAUCCAGAUACACGUGAGUGAGCUUCUUGCUCUUCCUGUAACACUGACCUCCACCAUCAUGAAGUGCUUUGAGGGGCUGGUCAGAACUCACAUCUGCUCCACCCUUCCUGACACCUUGGACCCCUUUCAAUUUGCAUACCACCCCAAUACAUCUACAGACAAAGCCAACGCCCUGACGACACACACCACCCUCUCCCACCUGGAGAAAGGCAACACAUAUGUGAGGAUGCUGUUUGUGGAUUACAGCUCUGCAUUCAACACUAUUGUGUCCACUAAGCUUGUUCCUAAGCUCAGGAACCUGGGACUUAACACCACCCUUUGGAAUCGGAUCCCGUACUUCCUUACGGGCAGAACCCAGGUGGUGAGAAUGGGCAACCUCACCUCCUCUGCACUGACCCUGAACACAGGGCUCCUCCUGUACUCCCUGUUAACACAUGGCUGCGUGACCAAACAGCUCCAACAACAUCCUUAAAUUUGCGGUCGACAUGCAAGCCAUAAAAUUCUCCAUGCAUGCCGUUUUGCUGUGUUUCUUCUCUAUAGAAACGUCUCCUGACCCCUGACAUGUGGGGGAGCUUCUCUCUAGUGCUGACAGUCAUAUAUGGACACACUCACACAGGAAAGUGAGAUCUGCAACUUUUUUCUCUGUACUUCCAUUAAGAGCUCUUAUCAAUGGAAUUACCACAACAUGUGCACUGUGGUCCUUGUAAACUGGGGUCUUGCAUACCAUUUGCUUUGCUAAAGAUCUGGAACACCAGGUGUGGGCCAUCAGUCCUACCCUCCUGAGCUCACCUGGAGAGGUGUGAAACUCGGAAACAAAUUGGAACGUAACUAAAUGUGUGAUAUAGUGGACAUUUAUCUGUAGUGUUUGGAUUUCCCCUGUUCCCCAUAAAGGGUUGAAUAGUCUGAGC
ensembl:lncRNA